rnacentral:rRNA from 1 species
CAGUGGGGAAUAUUGGGCAAUGGGCGAAAGCCUGACCCAGCAACGCCGUGUGAAGGAAGAAGGUCUUCGGAUCGUAAACUUCUAUCCCCGGUGAAGAUAAUGACGGUAACCGGGAAGGAAGCCCCGGCUAACUACGUGCCAGCAGCCGUGGUAAUACGUAGGGGGCAAGCGUUGUCCGGAAUGAUUGGGCGUAAAGGGCGCGUAGGCGGCUCGGUAAGUCUGGAGUGAAAUUCCUGCUUUCAAGGUGGGAACUGCUUUGGAUACUGUCGGGCUUGAGUGCAGGAGAGGUAAGUGGAAUUCCCGGUGUAGCGGUGAAAUGCGUAGAGAUCGGGAGGAACACCAGUGGCGAAGGCGACUUACUGGACUGUAACUGACGCUGAGGCGCGAAAGUGUGGGGAGCAAACAG